UGAAGGUAAGGUAAGUCGGAAAAUUGGAUGCGUAACUCCGGGAGAAGGAUUGGCUCUGAGGGGCGAGUCAGGCAGGCCGAGAUCAGAUACGUGUCGGUCCAGUUUGAGGCUGGUUUCUUCGCUGCUUCGUGUGCUUCGAUGCGUAUUGUUGUGGAGUUACCGAACUCUGACCGCGAUCGAUCAUAGGCGGUUUCAGCUGUUAGUGUUGAAUGGCUAGCCACGCGCAGGGACUUGCUCUGCGUUGCGUCAAGCGGUUGUGCUUCUAUUGUUUGGCGCGCGACGGCUAACUAAGAACUUUCACGGACCAGGGGAAACCGACUGGCUAGUUAAAACAAAGCACUGCGAUAUGCGCUGACUGGUUGUGAUGCAAUGUGAUUUCUGCCCAGAGCUCUGAAUGUCAAGGUGAAGGUAUUCAGCCAAGCGCAUGUAAACGGUAGGAGUAAUUAUGACAAAUCGCUACAGCGUUAGUUAAUCCUUCUAAUGAACCAUUCUUGCGAACGGGGUAUCACUGUAGCAAAUAACAUUGCGGCGGGUUCAGGUUCUGCCGGGAUAGUGGCACUGACAUAUAUAGCUAUGAAUGGUGUCAUGAAUACUGGUGGAAUCAUGGCCUGUCGUUCGCAGAAAUUAUCCCCAGCCCUUGAAAUAAAAUUCGUGGAAUAGGGUCCUAUGAACGGCACGUGACACCACUAGCCACUGUAAGGCCCUAGUUGCCAGAGAAGGUGAAAUAUACCGCUUUUCCGGCUUGGAAUGUUAUGUUAGAGUUGUUGGAUAUUGAGAAAACCCGGCCUCUGCCGCAGUGAUAAUACGCUCCCUUGAAAUUAUGGGUUGCG
rnacentral:ncRNA from 1 species